UAAACAACCGUGCGCAGCUGCUAUAAAUAGAAGAGAUGUAUCUCCAUAAGAUAUCAACAACUCAAUCCAACAAAUUGAAAUCAUGGCUAAAACUGCUCAUCUAAGUUCGUCUCCUAGUUUUCUCAUUGGGUUUCUCUUGGUUUUGAUCGUUGCAAACACAGUAUACGUCUGUGGUGAAUGUGAUAGGGGAAAUUCAGUGGUGGUGAAGUCGUGUGCAAGAAGUAAUUGUGAUAGUCUUUGUAGAUUUCAUAGCAAUUUUAUAGUCGGUCAUACUGAAUGCUCAGUUGGUCCAUUUAAUACUAAUGUGUGCUUCUGUUGCCGGUAAGCGGUAACGAUAUAAAAAGGAAACUUUCACCGGCAAUCGGCAUGGCACCAAUCAUGUAUCACACUCACUUGUUUGCUUCUUUGUAAUAGUAAGUUCCACGAACGCGUUAUUUGCUUAUCUUUUAUUAUCUGUUUGUAAUUGUAUUUCUUACGAAUUGCUGGUUAUUUUACCAAACUGAUCAAUUAGCUGGUCUUUGUUUGUAUUGCAAAAUGUUUAUGUUGUAUAAUAAUAAGAUUGUUGGUGACAAUGUUUAGCCAAUUAUUAAA